GAUGAACGCUGGCGGCGUGCCUAAUACAUGCAAGUCGAGCGAACAGACGAGGAGCUUGCUCCUCUGACGUUAGCGGCGGACGGGUGAGUAACACGUGGAUAACCUACCUAUAAGACUGGGAUAACUUCGGGAAACCGGAGCUAAUACCGGAUAAUAUAUUGAACCGCAUGGUUCAAUAGUGAAAGACGGUUUUGCUGUCACUUAUAGAUGGAUCCGCGCCGCAUUAGCUAGUUGGUAAGGUAACGGCUUACCAAGGCAACGAUGCGUAGCCGACCUGAGAGGGUGAUCGGCCCAACUGGAACUGAGACACGGUCCAGACUCCUACGGGAGGCAGCAGUAGGGAAUCUUCCGCAAUGGGCGAAAGCUUGACGGAGCAACGCCGCGUGAGUGAUGAAGGUCUUCGGAUCGUAAAACUCUGUUAUUAGGGAAGAACAAAUGUGUAAGUAACUAUGCACGUCUUGACGGUACCUAAUCAGAAAGCCACGGCUAACUACGUG
rnacentral:rRNA from 1 species